rnacentral:rRNA from 1 species
UUUGAUUUAUAUAUAAAGUCUGACCUGCCCACUGAAAAUUUUAAAUGGCUGCAGUAAUUUGACUGUACAAAGGUAGCAUAAUCAUUAGUUUUUUAAUUAAAAGCUUGUAUGAAAGGUUGGACGAAGUAAAAUCUGUCUCUUUUUAAUAUAAUUAGAAUUUAAUUUUUAAGUAAAAAAGCUUAAAUUUUUAUAAAAGACGAGAAGACCCUAUAGAGUUUAAUAAUUUUAAUAAAAUAUUUAAUUAAGAUUUAUUAAUUUUAUUUAAUUAAAAUUAUUUUAUUGGGGUAAUAAAAAGAUUAAAAAAAUUCUUUUUUUUUAAUACAUUAAUUUAUGAAUAUAUGAUCCAUUUGUAGUGAUUAAAAGAUUAAAUUACCUUAGGGAUAACAGCGUAAUUUUUUUAAAGAGUUCUUAUCGAUAAAAAAGUUUGCGACCUCGAUGUUGGAUUAAAGAUUAAUUUAGGUGUAGAAGUUUAAAUUUUUGGUCUGUUCGACCAUUAAAUCUUUACAUGAUCUGAGUUCAAACCGGUGUAAGCCAGGUUGGUUUCUAUCUUUAUUAAUUUUUUAUAUUUUAGUACGAAAGGACCAAAUAUAAAAUAUAUAAAUAUUUUUAUUUUGAAUAUUAUUAAAUUAGUUAUUUUGGCAGAUUAGUGUAAUGAAUUUAGAAUUCAUUUAUGUAAAUAUUUUACAAAUAAUACUUGUUUAUAAAAGAUAUAAUUAUUUCUUUUAUUUUAAUUAUUUUAUUAAUUAUUUGUGUUUUAGUAGGUGUAGCUUUUUUAACUUUAUUAGAACGAAAAGUUUU